AACGUAAAUUGUGCAAUCGCGGCGCCGUAGGGCGUCGAGGAAAGUCCGAACUCCGCAGGACAGGACACCUUGUGAAAACGAGGGUGCUGCAAACGAAAGUUUACAGCAACGGAAAGUGCCACAGAAAAAAUACCGCCCCGCCUUUGGCGGGGUAAGGGUGAAAAGGCGAGUUAAGAGCUCACCGCUUCGUCAGUAAUGGCGGAGGUCCCGAAAGGGAUGGCGCUUCUGGCGCCACACGGCAAACCCUAUCCGGAGCAAGACCAAGUAAGAAACGAACGGUGCUGUCCGCACUGCCUCCGCUUCGGCGGAGAUAGUUUUGGGUAGGUCGCAUUAGAGAAAUGAUUGCAACCCCGUCGCCCCCGCUUCUUGCGGGAGAACGGGGAACAAAAUUCGGCUUAUAGAUUUACGUUUUGU
rnacentral:RNase_P_RNA from 1 species